AGUGGCGGACGGGUGAGUAACGCGUGAGGAUCUGCCCUUAGGAUGGGGACAACAGUUGGAAACGACUGCUAAUACCCAAUGUGCCGAAAGGUGAAAGCUUUAGCGCCUGAGGAUGAACUCGCGUCUGAUUAGCUAGUUGGUAGUGUAAUGGACUACCAAGGCGACGAUCAGUAGCUGGUCUGAGAGGAUGAUCAGCCACACUGGGACUGAGACACGGCCCAGACUCCUACGGGAGGCAGCAGUGGGGAAUUUUCCGCAAUGGGCGAAAGCCUGACGGAGCAACGCCGCGUGAGGGAAGACGGCUCGUGGGUUGUAAACCUCUUUUCUCUAGGAAGAAGAACUGACGGUACUAGAGGAAUCAGCAUCGGCUAACUCCGUGCCAGCAGCCGCGGUAAUACGGAGGAUGCAAGCGUUAUCCGGAAUUAUUGGGCGUAAAGCGUCCGUAGGCGGUUUUACAAGUCUGCUGUUAAAGCGUGCAGCUCAACUGCAUAUAGGCAGUGGAAACUGUAAGACUAGAGUGUAGUAGGGGUAGAGGGAAUUCCCAGUGUAGCGGUGAAAUGCGUAGAUAUUGGGAAGAACACCGGUGGCGAAAGCGCUCUACUGGGCUACAACUGACGCUGAUGGACGAAAGCUAGGGGAGCGAAAGGGAUUAGAUACCCCUGUAGUCCUAGCCGUAAACGAUGGACACUAGGUGUUG
rnacentral:rRNA from 1 species